AAGGCAUACGAAACAGUGUGUAGUGAGUUUCUUUAUGGGCCAACUGUUCUUUUGAGACCCAAUUUCAAUGUCAAACAGUUCCUAAUGUGUACAAGUCAGCAAUUAUAUUUCAGUUCUGGAUGGUGGACAAAUGGUGGUAAUGCAGGUCCGACCCUCUCUGGCUUGGUCCUGGACAACCAGCAGUGACGCAUAGCUACUGUCUGCUAUUGUGGCAAGGCAACAUCAGCGUCUUUCAUCUCUGGACUGCUUCUCUUCUGUCUUCAUGGAUGGAGUAGACCUGUCAAUUCAUUUCUGUUGCCAAAAUCCAAAUGGUCUCAGAGUUGUUUUCUGAAAAUAUACACAUAUUCUCAAUCAAAAGUUCAUAAAGGAAUAUUUUCUAUAAAUUUGA